rnacentral:rRNA from 1 species
AUUGAACGCUGGCGGCAGGCCUAACACAUGCAAGUCGAACGGUAACAGGAAGAAGCUUGCUUCUUUGCUGACGAGUGGCGGACGGGUGAGUAAUGUCUGGGAAACUGCCUGAUGGAGGGGGAUAACUACUGGAAACGGUAGCUAAUACCGCAUAACGUCGCAAGACCAAAGAGGGGGACCUUCGGGCCUCUUGCCAUCGGAUGUGCCCAGAUGGGAUUAGCUAGUAGGUGGGGUAACGGCUCACCUAGGCGACGAUCCCUAGCUGGUCUGAGAGGAUGACCAGCCACACUGGAACUGAGACACGGUCCAGACUCCUACGGGAGGCAGCAGUGGGGAAUAUUGGACAAUGGGCGCAAGCCUGAUGCAGCCAUGCCGCGUGUAUGAAGAAGGCCUUCGGGUUGUAAAGUACUUUCAGCGGGGAGGAAGGGAGUAAAGUUAAUACCUUUGCUGAUUGACGGUACCCGCAGAAGAAGCACCGGCUAACUCCGUG